rnacentral:rRNA from 1 species
UGGGGAAUAUUGCACAAUGGGCGAAAGCCUGAUGCAGCAACGCCGCGUGAGCGAUGAAGGCCUUUGGGUCGUAAAGCUCUGUCCUAGGGGAAGAAUAAAUGACGGUACCCUUGGAGGAAGCCCCGGCUAACUACGUGCCAGCAGCCGCGGUAAUACGUAGGGGGCAAGCGUUAUCCGGAAUUAUUGGGCGUAAAGAGUGCGUAGGUGGUUUUGUAAGCGCGGGGUGAAAGGCAAUAGCUCAACUAUUGUAAGCCCUGCGAACUGUGAGACUUGAGUGCAGGAGAGGAAAGCGGAAUUCCCAGUGUAGCGGUGAAAUGCGUAGAUAUUAGGAGGAACACCAGUGGCGAAGGCGGCUUUCUGGACUGUAACUGACACUG